AAUGAACGCUGGCGGCGUGCAUAACACAUGCAAGUCGAACGAGAAACCCCGGGCUUGCUCGGGGGAGUAAAGUGGCGCACGGGUGAGUAACGCGUGGGUAACCUACCUCUGAAUCUGGAAUAACUUCGCGAAAGCGUUGCUAAUACCGGAUAUUGUCCUUGGAACUGCGGUUCUUGGGAUGAAAGGUGACCUCUUCUUGAAAGUUGCCGUUCGGGGACGGGCCCGCGUACCAUUAGCUAGUUGGUAGGGUAAUGGCCUACCAAGGCUACGAUGGUUAGCUGGUCUGAGAGGAUGAUCAGCCACACUGGAACUGAAACACGGUCCAGACACCUACGGGAGGCAG
rnacentral:rRNA from 1 species